rnacentral:rRNA from 1 species
AGGACGAACGCUGGCGGCGUGCCUAACACAUGCAAGUCGAACGGAGCCCGCAAGGGUUCAGUGGCGAACGGGUGCGUAACACGUGAGGAACUUGUCCAUCGGCGGGGGAUAGCCGGCCCAACGGCCGGGUAAUACCGCGUACGCCGUCCGGAGCGCAUGCUCUGGCCGGGAAAGCAGCAAUGCACCGAUGGAGAGCCUCGCGGCCUAUCAGCUAGUUGGUGGGGUAAUGGCCUACCAAGGCGACGACGGGUAGC